rfam:Oryza punctata chromosome 4, whole genome shotgun sequence.
UGUAAGUUUUGUAAGUUUUCGUGUCCAACGUUUGACUGUCCGUCUUAUUUGAAAAAAAUUAUAAUUAAUUUUUUAUUAUUAUUACAUGAUAAAAUAUGAAUAAUGAUUUAUGUGGGACUAAUUUUUUCAUAAAUUUUUCAAAUAAAACGAACGGUCAAACAUUGGACACGAAAACUCACAACUACACUUAUA